UGUCAUUUAUACAUCUUCCAGUUUGUCCUAUGUACAUUGGACAUAGGACAAACUGGAAGAUGUAUAAAUGACA
rnacentral:pre_miRNA from 1 species